UACGUAGGUGGCAAGCGUUGUCCGGAUUUAUUGGGUUUAAAGGGUGCGUAGGCGGCCCUGUAAGUCCGUGCUGAAAUCCCCCGGCUUAACCUGGGAACUGCGUCUGAUACUGGAAGGCUUGAGUGCGGGAGAGGGAUGUGGAAUUCCAGGUGUAGCGGUGAAAUGCGUAGAUAUCUGGAGGAACACCGGUGGCGAAGGCGGCAUCCUGGACCGACACUGACGCUGAGGCGCGAAAGCUAGGGUAGCAAACGGG
rnacentral:rRNA from 1 species